UUUUGCAACACUUUAUCUCUCUAUAUUUUCGACCGUUUAUUUUGUUUCCCACCGAAAUAUUAAUUGUAAUGGAUUAAAUGGAUGAGAUCGUUCUCUAACUUUCAAAAACAUAAGCCAUCCAUUCUAGGGCUGUGCAAAUGAACGGACUCAAUUUUCAUAUUGCCUGCCACGUGUACCGUAAAGAGAUGAGUAUACCAUAUUUCGGUUCUUACGGAUCCAAUAUAUCAUCUCCGUGGCUUUUAUUCAUUUUGGAACUUGGAAGCUCGAAGUAGAGCUCUCUCUCAAAAUCCCUAAGCUCCGAAAGGAAAACAGAGCGAAAUCGCGUUUUACUUCUGCAAUUCUAUCUGUCAAAAUCCCCAAGCUCUGAAAGGAAAUCAGAUCGAAAUCGCAUUUAACUUUUGUAAUUCGAUCCUUUACAAUGCCUAGAAACGUUAAUUCUGUCCUCCACACCAGCAAUCUCUUCGCCGAUUUCAGUUACUGAUGGCCGCUAUCCUAGAGCGACAUUGGACCGAAAUGGAUUGCGCCCUAGUCGCUUUCACAUCACACAUAGUGGACACGUGAUCAUGACCAGUGAGGUUGGUGUUGUAGAUAUCUUGCCAGAAGAUGUGGCUAGGAAAGGGAGAUAUUUGAUCGGUCCAGAAGGGGACCUUACUGAAAUAGUUCAUGUGGAAGGCUAGGAAAGGAAGACAUUUGUAGUUUGUUUUGAAAACUUUAAAUAGACCAUUAAUUGUUUUAUUGAUAUUGUGUUGAUUGUUGUCUUGAUGAAUGUUAAAUGGGUGAAAUAUGCACAGGUUCAAUCAUUUGUUGAUUA